rnacentral:rRNA from 1 species
GUGGGGGAUAUUGCACAAUGGGGGGAACCCUGAUGCAGCGACGCCGCGUGAGUGAAGGAGUACUUCGGUAUGUAAAGCUCUAUCAGCAGGGAAGAAGCAAGACGGUACCUGACCAAGAAGCCCCGGCUAACUACGUGCCAGCAGCCGCGGUAAUACGUAGGGGGCGAGCGUUAUCCGGAUUCACUGGGUGUAAAGGGAGCGUAGACGGCAUGGCAAGUCUGGAGUGAAAGCCCGGGGCCCAACCCCGGGACUGCUCUGGAAACUGGUAUGCUAGAGUGCUGGAGAGGUAAGUGGAAUUCCUAGUGUAGCGGUGAAAUGCGUAGAUAUUAGGAGGAACACCAGUGGCGAAGGCGGCUUACUGGACAGUGACUGACGUUGAGGCUCGAAAGCGUGGGGAGCAAACAGG